UACAGAGGGUGCGAGCGUUAAUCGGAAUUACUGGGCGUAAAGCGCGCGUAGGCGGCUUUGCAAGUCGGGUGUGAAAUCCCCAGGCUUAACCUGGGAACUGCAUUCGAGACUGCAUUGCUAGAGUAUGGGAGAGGGAAGUGGAAUUUCCGGUGUAGCGGUGAAAUGCGUAGAUAUUGGGAGAACACCGGUGGCGAAGGCGGCUACCUGGCCCACUCUUGACGCUGAGGCGCGAAAGCUAGGGGAGCAAACGGG
rnacentral:rRNA from 1 species